AGACCCUAUAGAGCUUUAUAUAUUUAUAUAAUAAUUUUAUAUUUGGUAGUUUUGAUAGUUGUUAUAAAAUAUAUUGUGUUGGGGUGACAUAAAGAUAAAAUUAACUCUUUGUAUUUUUAACAUUAAUUUAUGAAUUAUUGAUCCAGUAUUAUUGAUUAAAAGAAAAAGUUACCUUAGGGAUAACAGCGUAAUUUUUUUUGAGAGUUCUUAUCAAUAAAAAAGAUUGCGACCUCGAUGUUGGAUUAAGGAAAAUUAUUAGGUGAAGUAGUUUAAUUAAUAGGUCUGUUCGACCUUUAAAUCCUUACGUGAUCUGAGUUCAGACCGGA
rnacentral:rRNA from 4 species